CAAUAGCGUAUAUUACAGUUGUUGCAGUUAAAAAGCUCGUAGUUGGAUUUCUGUCGAAGACGUCCGGUCCGCCCGCUGGGUGUGCACCUGGAUCGGCUUUGGCAUCCUCUUGGAGUACGUCUCUGCUCUUGACUGAGUGGAACGGAAUCCAGGACUUUUACUUUGAAAAAAUUAGAGUGUUUCAAGCAGGCGUUUGCCUUGAAUACAUUAGCAUGGAAUAAUAAGAUAGGACUUUGGUUCUAUUUUGUUGGUUUCUGGGACCGAAGUAAUGAUUAAUAGGGAUAGUUGGGGGCAUUCGUAUUUAACUGUCAGAGGUGAAAUUCUUGGAUUUGUUAUAAAGACGAACUACUGCGAAAGCAUUUGCCAAGGAUGUUUUCAUUAA
rnacentral:rRNA from 1 species